ensembl:snRNA U5 U5 spliceosomal RNA
CCACUCAGGUUUCUCUUCAGAUCGUAUAAAUCUUUCGCCUUUUACUAAAGAUUUCCGUGGAGGGAGCAAUAUGAGUUUCAACCAAUUUUUGAUGCUCUGCUGUAAGGUGGGA